rnacentral:rRNA from 1 species
GACACAAGGAUUAUGACAAUAAAUAACAAUACGGGGCUCUUUCGGGUCUUGUAAUUGGAAUGAGUACAAUUUAAAUCCCUUAACGAGGAUCAAUUGGAGGGCAAGUCUGGUGCCAGCAGCCGCGGUAAUUCCAGCUCCAAUAGCGUAUAUUAAAGUUGUUGCAGUUAAAAAGCUCGUAGUUGGAUUUCUGGCCGAAGCGACCGGUCGGUACCCUUUGUGGUAUGUGCACUGUUGUCGGCUUCGGCCAUCCUGGCGGAAAAGGUGCCUGGCCUUCACUGGUCGGGUGCGGGAUCCGCCACGUUUACUGUGAAAAAAUUAGAGUGUUUAAAGCAGGCGAUCGCUGUGAAUACAUUAGCAUGGAAUAAUGAGAUAGGACUUUGGUACUAUUUUGUUGGUUUGCGCACCAAGGUAAUGAUUAAUAGGGAUAGUUGGGGGUAUUCAUAUUCAAUUGUCAGAGGUGAAAUUCUUGGAUUUAUGGAAGAUGAACUUAUGCGAAAGCAUUUACCAAGGAUGUUUUCAUUAAUCAAGAACGAAAGUUAGGGGAUCGAAGAUGAUUAGAUACCAUCGUAGUCUUAACCAUAAACUAUGCCGACUCGGGAUUGGGCGUCGUUGAAUUAAUGACUCGCUCAGCACCGUAUGAGAAAUCAAAGUCUUUGGGUUCCGGGGGGAGUAUGGUCGCAAGGCUGAAACUUAAAGGAAUUGACGGAAGGGC